AAUUAAAUACAGGGGAGCUUGUAAUGGCAGGCUGAGAGGAAGUCAUCUAACUUCGACCCUUAACCUGAUACGGAUAAUGCCGUCGUAGGAAGUCAUAAGAAAAGAUUU
rnacentral:ncRNA from 1 species